rnacentral:rRNA from 1 species
GACGAACGCUGGCGGCGUGCUUAACACAUGCAAGUCGAACGGAAAGGCCCCUUUGGGGGUACUCGAGUGGCGAACGGGUGAGUAACACGUGAGUAACCUGCCCUUGACUUCGGGAUAACUUCAGGAAACUGGGGCUAAUACCGGAUAGGAAUCCUUGCUGCAUGGUGGGGGUUGGAAAGCUUCGGCGGUUUUGGAUGGACUCGCGGCUUAUCAGCUUGUUGGUGGGGUAGUGGCUUACCAAGGCUUUGACGGGUAGCCGGCCUGAGAGGGCGACCGGCCACAUUGGGACUGAGAUAAGGCCCAGACUCCUACGGGAGGCAGCAGUGGGGAUUAUUGAACAAUGGGCGGAAGCCUGAUGCAGCAACGCCGCGGGCGGGAUGACGGCCUUCGGGUUGUAAACCGCUUUCAGCAGGGGCGAAGCUUGUGGUGACGGUACCUGCAGAAGAAGCACCGGCUAACUACGUG